UACAGAGACCUCAAGCGUUAUCCGGAAUCAUUGGGCGUAAAGCGUACCGAUAGGUGGUUAAGAAAGUCAGAUGUGAAAUUCCAAGGCUCAACCUUGGGACUGUCAUUUGAAACUUCUUGACUAGAGGGGCAAAGAGGAAGCUGGAACGAACGGUGUAGUAGUGAAAUGCGUUGAUAUCGUUCGGAACACCAAUAGCGAAGGCAGGCUUCUGGGUGCCACCUGACACUGCUAGGACGAAAGCGUGGGGAGCGAAUGGG
rnacentral:rRNA from 1 species